rnacentral:rRNA from 1 species
UAGGGAAUCUUCCGCAAUGGGCGAAAGCCUGACGCAGCCACGCCGCGUGAGUGAUGAAGGCCCUCGGGUUGUAAAACUCUGUCACCGGGGAAGAAAAAAAGUGUAAGUAACUAAGCACGCCUUGACGGUACCUAACCAGCAAGCGACGUAUAACUACGUGCCAGCAGCCGCGGUAAUACGAAGGUGGCAAGCGUUAUUCGGAUUUAUUGGGCGUAAAGCGCACGUAGGCGGAUUUUUAAGUCUGGUGUGAAAGCCCACGGCUCAACCCUGGAGCGGCCUUUGAUACUGGAAGACUUGAGUGCAGGAGAGGAGAGUGGAAUUCCGAGUGUAGCGGUGAAAUGCGUAGAGAUACGGAGGAACACCAGUGGCGAAGGCGGCUUACUGGUCUGUUACUGACGCUGAUGUGCGAAAGCGUGGGGAGCAAACAGG